CACGCCCCCCGGCCGCUCACGCCACGUCCGACUUACAGCUUCAUAUUGCCAGUGAGUACCAGUCUGUUCUGCCAGAGCACAAUGAUCCUCAGUUGGUACCGACCUGUGAUUCACAGUACAAGUGUCCCCUUUGUGAAAAGAAGGGAGACUUGUGUAAGCUGGUCCCUCAUUUACAGGGCCACAAGCGAAACACAGUUAAACAUGCAGUGCUUCAAUCUAGAGAGAGCCUUCUACUCAAAUGUACUCUAUUGCGACCAGCCCAGGAAAAGGAGAACACACACAGACAGUAGUUGCAUUACCAGGACCUACCCAUGCAACAAACACAGCUGCUGUCACCCACCUUUUUGUGUCCUCCAAUAAGCUGGGACUUUGCUGUGACCCUAGAGACACCCUGAGCUAUGUGUGAACCAAACGUUGUGUCAAUCCAUCCAGUAGAUUUUUAAAUAUUUGGAUAAGUGAAAACUUUAAGAGAGACGGGAAUUCCUGAGAGAAGAACAGGUUGAUCUUCUCAGACCAGAGGUCAACCCGAAGAGAGAUGGUGAAAAAGAUUGUUCAUUGAUCACCAGGGUACCAAAAACUCUAAAAUACGUACAUAAGGUUGUUCGGAACACAACAAUUACUCUCACAAAAUAAGGAGGGUUUGAUGGAGAACAGAUGAAUAAGAUGAAGAAAAACUACAAGAAGGCAAAUCCCUACCCAGCCUCAUUCAUGUCAAUCUAACAUGUCCUCUCAUAUAUUUACAUCCACAUCUUCAUGGUUGACUCAGUGUUCAGCACUUUUACUGCAGGAAUGUUCUUGUUUCAAACCAGCGGGGGUCUUUCUGUGUUCAGCAGCAUGUGUUUGCAUGUGGUUGUGUUUACUUACAGUACAGUCACGAUCUCUCCCAUGUCCGUGUGGGUUUCCUUCCUUCCUCCCAUAGUCCAGACAUGUUGAACAGGUGAAACAUUGAAUCUAAACAGUCUGUAGCUGUGAAGCCUAUUCAGCUUCACUUCUCUUCUCCUAAAUAGUGUUAUAGCUCAUUAGUAUAUAAGUCAAAACGUUAUCACAAUAUUAUUAUAUUAUGUUUAUUACUGUGAUGUCACCAGUGCAUAAUCAUCAGAAUCAGAGGAUUCGGUCCUUCCCCUUCAUUUAUUUAUUAUCCUAGUUGUGCACAACAUAUUAUCAUGUGCAAAACAAGAAUAGACCAGUACAGGUACGGAUUUACCUACAGUAUGUACCUUUGGAGCCUAAUAAUUACAGUAAACUAACCAAUUAUUAUCAUCUCCAGGAGCCUGGUUGACUGAAACAUUUUUACAGCAGAAUGAGAAUAAACCCAAAGUUAUAUUAUUUAGUCCAAAGCAUAAAACCUAUCUGCUUUAUUUUGUCUUGUCAAGUAGUUUUAAUCAGGCAAAAGUUAACAGGCUCUGUCUAUUGACUCUCUAUUGAUUGAUAUUCUUUCUAAUUUCACCUU